UACAGGGGGGGCAAGCGUUGUUCGGAAUCACUGGGCGUAAAGGGCGUGUAGGCGGUCCGCUAAGUCUGAUGUGAAAGCCCGGGGCUCACCCCCGGAAGGGCAUUGGAAACUGGCGGACUCGAGUCUCGGAGAGGAAGGUGGAAUUCCUGGUGUAGCGGUGAAAUGCGUAGAUAUCAGGAGGAAUACCGGUGGCGAAGGCGGCCUUCUGGACGAUGACUGACGCUGAGACGCGAAAGCGUGGGGAGCAAACAGG
rnacentral:rRNA from 1 species